rnacentral:rRNA from 1 species
AACAAACGCUGGCGGCGUGCCUAAUACAUGCAAGUCGAACGGGGAAAGCUUUCGGGUGAGUACUAGUGGCGCACGGGUGAGGAACGCGUGGAUAAUCUGCCUUAGAGUGGGGGAUAACUAGUCGAAAGAUUAGCUAAUACCGCAUAAGACCACAGGAGCUGCGGCUCAAGGGGUCAAAGGUUUUUCGCUCUAAGAUGAGUCCGCGUAAGAUUAGCUAGUUGGUGAGGUAACGGCUCACCAAGGCGACGAUCUUUAACUGGUCUGAGAGGAUGAUCAGUAACACUGGAACUGAGACACGGUCAAGACUCCUACGGGAGGAAGCAGUAGGGAAUAUUGCACAAUGGAGGAAACUCUGAUGCAGCGACGCCGCGUGAGUGAUGAAGGCCUUCGGGUCGUAAAGCUCUGUCGCAGGGGAAUAACACAAUGAAUGUACCCUGUAAGAAAGGAUCGGCUAACUUCGUGCCAGCCGCCGCCGUAAUAC